CUACCCUCUCUAUCUCUAGCCCCAGGCCUUUGAUGAACUCAUAUAGAGGGCUUCUAAGCUGGUUUCUUAAGACACCCAGAAUCCAAAACAAGAUGAUCUCAACACUUCGAUUCAUGGGUCUUUCAGGAAAUCUAGCUUCUCUUGAGAUUCGAAGAAGAUUUGGGGGAUUUAUUAUCAGAAGUGCAGAAGAUUUCGGCAGUUCUAUUGUCGUCAUUGCUACUGCUGCUAUCAGAUGCCUUGGAUUUGGGCUUUGGUCAUUAUGUGAAGGGUUCAUGGAUGAAGGCUUUCAUGUUUGUACACAGCAGUUUCUAUUUUGUACCAAGGAAUUAAGAUGCUAAGGAAGAAAAGAAGCCAUAAGGGUCUUGAUUCGUAUAAAGGAAAGUCCCUGAAGCUGCUCUCUGUUAUGGCUACAAUCCGUUUGGAUAACAAGGAUGAUAAAAUCCAGACUACUUCUCACUUGCUUUAGCAGAGUCGGCGAAUGGCAAUGUUACUGACAGGAGCAUCAUUUCAUCUGACCCACUGGCUUCAAACACUUGGGAAGAGGUGACAUAUGAAGCUUCUGAAACUCUUUCUUGAUGUGUUUGGCCCAUGAACUUUCUUAUUGAUCACAAAGACUUGGUAUGAAGAAGGAUAUUUCACAAUAAGGAAUGAAAAAUAGCAAAGGUAAUCUCUAUCAAUCUUAUUUACCAAGAAGGCUCAUGAACAUCUCUCUUUUGCAUUUGCAUCCCUUGAUCAAUUCCAAGAAUAAUAAUAUGAAAGAAGAAAUUGAUGGGAAUUCAAAUGUUGCAACAAAAACACAAGUAUGAAAUCACUACUACUAGAUUUAUGGCUCUAACUUACAUGUGGAUGAACAUAUUCCACACAUGGAAGCAGACCCAUUUCGAAAGAACCCCAAAUACAUGCAAUGUUCAUGUUAGAUCAUAUUGAGAAUGUUGGAAGUUAUCAACAUGAAUGAUUUUGCAUAUUGAGAAUGUUGGAAGCUAUCAACAUGAAUGAUUUUGCAUGUAAUCUGAUUACUUACAAGCACACAGUAGAACUCAUAUGCAAAUGUUUGUUUACACUUCCAAAUAAGUUGAUUAUAAUCUUCUCUUCCGUAUCCAUAUGUGAUGUAACAAAUCUGUAUUUUGGGUUGUUUGGCAACUAGGAAUUUACAAGUUGCUAAAGAAUUUAUUUUUUGGAAACAAAUUCUCUAUGAGAAACUGAUUGGGUGCACCUUACCAUCUAAGUUCUCUUCAGCCAUCUAGGAAUUUAUAAGUUCUCUUUUUGCCAUGACCCAACUAAAUCUAAUUGGGUGUACCUUACCAUCUAAUAUUUGGCCAUCUUUUUCCUAAACAAUUGAUAUUUAUGUUCUUUGACACUGCUUAUCAAAUUAAAGUUUAUAUCUCACAACUACUGGCCGCACUUGUAACAGGUAACAGGACACUUCAACCUAAUACAGGUCAGGAUCAAAUCAUGGGCAUACAUUUACUGAUCCAAACUCAAAUCAUGGGCCCACCUUUAUACGGGGCAGGGCCUCAAAUUACGAUUAUUUGGGAAAUUGUUUUGAUCUGUAAAGGUUUGUUGAUCCCAUGUGCUUAUGAGUGUAGCCUUGCCCCUCUACAUAUCUGAACAUGUGUAUGGUGCACAUGUUGUGAACAUCCAAGCUAUCCAUCAUUCCAUCCCCUAUAGGGAGCUUUAUCGUGUUUCCAUGAUCUCUGUAUAGGUGGGGACUGUUUUGAAAUGUUACAUACAACCGACUUUGGCUGUUCUACAAGUUAUCCCAUAUGUAGUGGUUAGAUCUGCUUGGUUUUUUUCUCGAAAUGUCUUCCAUCUGUUUCAUCUCAUGAAGGUUGUUGUAAUGCUGAUUUCAAGUCUUUGCAAGAGUUUCUCUUGAACAGAAGGAGCUUAUCAUGACCACUUUUAAGAUAGUGGGAAGGAUGGUAUUGAUGUGUGGAGAUGGGACCAAUGAUGUUGGGGCUCUGAAGCAAGUAUUAAUGCCCCUCUUUCACAUAGCUGUUUUUAUCUUAUUAUCCAUUAAUUUGUAGGCUGCUGAUUGAGCCCCUUUGUUUGAAAUCUGAACCACAGUUUGUUGGCCCAUUUAUAUGGAUUAGUGCGUCUGAACUUGAAAAUGUAUUUAAGAAAAAGGCUUUGUAGCCACAGGAUCCAUUCCUACAGAAUACUUCAACAAACAUCAUGAAUAGGA